GGAGGAAUACCCAAGUCUGGCUGAAGGGAUUGGUCUUGAAAACCAACAGGCGGGUCAUACCGCGCGGGGGUUCGAAUCCCUCUUCCUCCUCCA
rnacentral:tRNA from 1 species